AGUGAACGCUGGCGGCAGGCCUAACACAUGCAAGUCGAACGCCCCGCAAGGGGAGUGGCAGACGGGUGAGUAACGCGUGGGAAUAUUCCCUUUGGUUCAGGAUAGCCCCGGGAAACUAGGAUUAAUACUGGAUAAGAUCUACGGAUGAAAGAUUUAUCGCCGAAGGAUUAGCCCGCGUAAGAUUAGUUAGUUGGUGAGGUAACGGCUCACCAAGACAAUGAUCUUUAGCUGGUCUGAGAGGAUGAUCAGCCACGCUGGAACUGAGACACGGUCCAGACUCCUACGGGAGGCAGCAGUGAGGAAUAUUGGACAAUGGGCGCAAGCCUGAUCCAGCCAUGCCGCGUGAGUGAUGAAGGCCCUAGGGUUGUAAAACUCUUUUAGUGGGGAAAAUAAUGAUGGUACCCACAGAAAAAGCUCCGGCUAACUUCGUGCCAGCCGCCGCCGUAA
rnacentral:rRNA from 1 species